AUGGUGUUGCUUGACAUUAGGGGUAUGUUGCAGUCUAUGGGUAAAGACAUUAUUGAUUUUGCUCUUCCAACGAUCGAUGAUGCAUUUGACCCAACCGAGGGCGAGGCCAGAGAGAUCAUCGAGGAAUCAACCAUUGAGUUUGACGAAAGUGACACUAAAUUGUCAUCUUCCCUGAAUUUUGAGCAAAGGGCUGCAUACGACGAGAUACUAGCGGCUGUUGAACGCGGUGAUGGGGGUAUAUUCUUUGUUGAUGGCCCUGGAGGUACGGGGAAGACCUUCCUCUACAGGGCGAUGCUCGCCAAGGUGAGGCGCGAGGGCAAGAUUGCUAUCGCUACCGCGACGUCGGGCGUCACUGCUUCUAUCAUGCCUGGCGGCGGGACUGCCCACUCGAGGUUCAAAAUCCCACUGAGUUGCGAUGAUGGAGCCUCGUGCAGCUUCACCAAGCAGAGUGGGACCGCCAAGCUGCUAAGGAUGGCCUCAUUGAUACUAUGGAACGAGGCCAGCAUGACUAAGCGACAAGCGGUUGAGGCAUUAGACAAUAGCAUGCGCGACAUCAUGGGAAUACGCGACCGACCCUUUGGAGGAAAGACUGUUUUUUUGGCGAGGACUUUAGGCAGGUGCUUCCGGUCGUCAGAAGGGGGUCACGGGGCCAGAUAA
rnacentral:rRNA from 1 species